rnacentral:lncRNA from 1 species
GAAGGCCCAAAAUCUAAAAAAUUAAAAAAGUGGCCCAGCUAAACUCUUCUUCCUCCUCCCUUCUUCUUCCCUGUCGGCGAGUUAAUUUCUUCCUCCUGCUAGCUGUAACUUUCUUCCUCCUGCCCUUCUUCCCUGUUGACGCCACUGCCUACAGACAGCAAACACACUUUCUUCUUCUUCCUUCCCUUUUGCUUUUUCUUCUUUUUCUUCUUCUUCUCUUCUUCUUGGAGUUUCCUGUGUCACGUCCAAAGUCCAGUGCGGGCAUCGGCCUGCACUGGACUCCAUGUAGCUCCGCCCCUGG